rnacentral:rRNA from 1 species
AGUGAACGCUGGCGGUAGGCCUAACACAUGCAAGUCGAACGGCAGCACAGUAAGAGCUUGCUCUUACGGGUGGCGAGUGGCGGACGAGUGAGGAAUACAUCAGAAUCUACUUUUUCGUGGGGGAUAACGUAGGGAAACUUACGCUAAUACCGCAUACGACCUACGGGUGAAAGCAGGGGAUCUUCGUACCUUGCGCGAUUGAAUGAGCCGAUGUCGGAUUAGCUAGUUGGCGGGGUAAAGGCCCACCAAGGCGACGAUCCGUAGCUGGUCUGAGAGGAUGAUCGGCCACACUGGAACUGAGACACGGUCCAGACUCCUACGGGAGGCAGCAGUGGGGAAUAUUGGACAAUGGGCGCAAGCCUGAUCCAGCCAUACCGCGUGGGUGAAGAAGGCCUUCGGGUUGUAAAGCCCUUUUGUUGGGAAAGAAAAGCAGCAGGUUAAUACCCCGCUGUUCUGACGGUACCCAAAGAAUAAGCACCGGCUAACUUCGUG